AUGUCCCCGCAGUCCGAUCCCAGAGAGACCAGCAGCACCAAAGCGAAGCGAGCAGCCAGGGCCAGGGGAGAAGGAAGGAAACCGAGGCAAGCGGAGGCGGCGGCAGCAGCGGCGCAGGGCGCACGCGCUUCUCGUUUCGUGUCCCCAGGGGGAAGGGUUGAAGGGAGGGAAGGCGGCAGCCGAAGCUUCGAGAAGGCUCGUUCGGUCGAGGAGGAGGCGGGGAAGGCUGGCGGCCGAGGGCCCGGGCGGCAUGGGGAGGGACGAGCUGCUGCGGCGGAGCCUCGUGGCGCUGGCGGCGGCCGUCGUGGUCACGGGGCUGGCCACGGCGUCGCUGCGGAAAGCGGCGGCCACCUACGGCUUCGGCAUCCUGGCCAUCGCCGGCGUGCUGCUCCCGGACUGGGAGUUCUUCGACCGCGACUUCUCCCAGUGGCUCACCCCCAUGCCCGCCUCCCGCCGCACGGCAGCCGCCGCCGCCGCCGAGCGCGAGCACGACGUCUGGAAUGAGGCGCGCGCGCGUAUUGGAUGUCAUAUAUUGAAAUUUCUCUGUUCAAAGUGGCAGCGAAAUUGCGAGACUGGGUUUAAGGCACCUGAUGAAGAUAAACUUUAAGCCAUUUCCCAUCUCCAAGAUUCAACCUUUCUAAUGCAUGCUAGUAAAGAUCGGUGAGAUUCAAGCCCUACCCUCUCAGAAUGGCCAUGCUGACGACGAUAUACGGUUUCGGACUUUACAAGUGGUGGAUGUACGUAUCUAGCUAGUGGAUGUGGAUCCUUUUCCUCCCCCUGGAUCUCUCCCCCUGUAGCCAAGUUCUUUUUUUUUGGAAGAAACACCAUGACAGUGCCUGAAUCUCAGCCAUUCUUCGUUGUGAUCAGAUCAGCCAGUUGUUAUAUUGCCUGGUUACACGCUGCUGAUACGAAAAUCUUCUAAUGGGGGAACUCCCGACACAAGUUGAUUGUAUGUACUAGCGGGUUUUGUAAUGUGGAAACGUUAUCAUUCUUGUUUCUUAGUUGAAAGCAUGAAGCUAGGCUUCAUUCCUUCUCCUCUUCGUCACUCUUGCAGCCCGCCUUCAAGAUGCCUCUCCGUCAGAAAAAAAAAACUUGAAUUUUUUUUGAAGGACUAUGAAAAUAUAUAGGACUGCCUUGUCCUGUUCUUGCA